UACGAAGGGUGCAAGCGUUACUCGGAAUUACUGGGCGUAAAGCGUGCGUAGGUGGUUCGUUAAGUCUGAUGUGAAAGCCCCGGGCUCAACCUGGGAAUGGCAUUUGGGACUGCAAGGCUGGAGUUUGGCAGAGGAGACUGGAAUUCCUGGUGUAGCAGUGAAAUGCGUAGAUAUCAGGAGGAAUACCGAUGGCGAAGGCAGGUCUCUGGGCUAUAACUGACGCUCAUGCACGAAAGCGUGGGGAGCAAACAGG
rnacentral:rRNA from 1 species